GCUCAAGCACACCACCGAAGACGCGGCAGUAUUUUGUACUGGGUAGGAGAGCGUCCCAUGAGGGGCGAAGCGGCCGUGUGAACGCGCCGUGGACUUCAUGGGAGUGAGAAUGCAGACAUGAGUAGCGAGAGACGGGUGAAGAUCCCGUCCGCUGGAUGACCAAGGGUUCCAGGGCCACGUUCAUCGUCCCUGGGUGAGUCGGGUCCUAAGGCGAGGCCGACAGGCGUAGUCGAAUGGAUGAACGGGUGGAUAUUCCCGUACCGGCGGCGUACCGUAAGAGCCGAACGGAUGAGUACUAACCUCCGGUCGCGUGGCGUCGUUCCCUUCGGGGUUCGGGGUCCGCGGUCGUUGGGAGCGUAGUCCUGGUAGGCUAGCGCACAGGGGUGACACGGAAUGGGAGCCGGCCGCGGAGGUGGUUUUCCGUGGUCAAGCACGCAGCCCGUCCCAUAGGCAAAUCCGUGGGGCAUCGAGGGUGAGGUGUGAUGAUGGGCGUCCUUUGGACGCGAUAUCCGGUGGUCCAGGCCGUCGAGAAAAGCCUCGGCGCGAGGGGCGUCGCCGCCCGUACCCCAAACCGACACUGGUGGUCAGGUAGAGAAUACCAAGGCGAUCGAGCGAAUCCUGGUCAAGGAACUCGGCAAAUCACUCCCGUGCCUUCGGUAUAAGGGAGACCCCCGGGCGUGAAGAGGCUUGCCCUCGGAGCGUUGGGGGGUGGCACAGACCAGGGGGUAGCGACUGUUUACCAAAAACACAGGUGCAUGCGAAGGCGCAAGCCGCUGUAUAUGCACUGACGCCUGCCCGGUGCCGGAAGGUUAAGAGGAUCCGUCAGCCCCUUUUGGGGUGAAGCGGUGAAUUCAAGCCCCGGUAAACGGCGGUGGUAACUAUCCUUGUCGGGUAAGUUCCGACCUGCACGAAUGGCGUAACGACUUCCCCACUGUCUCGACCAGGAGCUCGGCGAAAUUGCAGUACGAGUAAAGAUGCUCGUUAAGCGCAGAAGGACGAAAAGACCCCGGGACCUUUACUAUACCUUGGUAUUGGCAUUCGGUGUGGAUUGUGUAGCAUAGGCGGGAGGCCGAGAGGCGCGGUCGCCAGAUCGCGCGGAGCCGUAAGGUGAAAUACCGCUCUGUUCGCAUUGGAUGUCUAACCUCGAACAGUCAUCCUGUUCAGGGACAGUGCCUGGCGGGUAGUUUAACUGGGGCGGUUGCCUCCCAAAGAGUAACGGAGGCGCUCAAAGGUCCGCUCAGCCCGGUUGGCAAUCGGGUUUCGAGUGUAAUCGCACAAGCGGGCUUGACUGCGAGAACGACGGUUCGGGCAGGGACGAAAGUCGGAGAUAGUGA
rnacentral:rRNA from 1 species